AUCUUAGUAUAAACAAACCACAAACUGCUAACCAUUGUAAUUUUAGACAAUUAAUCACUAAAAAAAAUGCAGGAGUGAUCUGAAGGAUGAAUCACGGAUAUUGAUUGUCCGGCCUGAUAGGUAAGUUUGUCCACCGAAUAUUCGAUCAGUUUGAAGAUCAAGGGCACUUUUUAUCAAAAGACAAAGUACCCGCGAGAGUCGGGCGUGGUUGUUCUAGUGGUAUAUAAACUGGUGUUGGUGUUAGGACCAUUAUCACUUGUUACUAGUACAAGCUCCAAUCACAUCAUGUUCUCCAGAAUCUUUGCCUUCCUCGCCCUCGUGGCCGUGGCCUUCGCCAGCCCCAAGCCCGACCCGCAGUUGGUGGCGUACUCCGCUCCCGGCGUGGUACCCGCGGUGGGCUACUCCGGCUACUCGGCGUACUCCCCGGUCGCCUACUCCGCCCCGCUCGCCGCCGCCCCAGCUUACCCCUACGCCUACUCCGCCGGAUACUAUGUCCGUUAAGAUAACGACUAUGGAUAGACUUAUGAAUAUGGACUCUGAACUGCAUCACGAUUUUCAAUAAAGUUUUGUUUU